rnacentral:lncRNA from 1 species
CAGUUAUUUCCUUAUUCAAACCAUUUAAAAACCUAUCCAUUGUAGCCUCUUCUUCCUCCAUACAAUUAGCUUGGAUCAUAGCCAUAUCCAUAGCUACAGACAUUUUGACCCUUGAUUCAAUGUUUGAAGACGUUGUUGUAGCUCUCUUUGAAAGUGUGAUGGUACGAAUCACUUCUUCAUCACUCUCUUCGUCUCACCCCAAGUAGCAAUUGGUGCUUGUCCUUCUUGCAGUCUGUCCCCAGUAAGCUUUUUCCACCAAAUAGCAGCAUAGUCAGAAAACUCACCAACGACAAGUUUAACCUUCUUAACUUCAUAGUAGUUGUGACAAUC